rnacentral:lncRNA from 1 species
AUGGACUGGGAGUUUGGGGUUAGUAGAUGCAAAGUAUUGCAUUUGGAGUGGAUAAGCAAUGAAUUCCUGCUAUAUAGCACAGAGAACUAUAUCUAAUCACUUGGACUGGAACAUGAUAGAAGAUAAUAUGAGAAAAAGAAUGUAUAUAUUUGUAUAACUGGGUCACUCUGCUGUACAUCAGAAAUUGAGAACACUGUAAAUCAACUAUAAUUUUUUUAAAGUUAAACAAACAAAUGAAAAAACCCAAAGUGAAUGAAUAUCAAUCCUGCAAUGGCAUGGCUCCCUGAACCAGCCAGAGGAAUACUAAAGUAAAAAAUGGGAGCAAUGGAUGGAGGCCUGAGAUGUGUAGACUCACACUGUUCCAGGCUUUGACCUGCUCUUCUACUUAAACAUACGCUCCUCCCUGAGCUCAUGAAAUGCAUUUCUAUCAAAUAUCUACAUUUAGUGGAAAAAAAUUCCUUUUGAUCCAGGACUCUGGUUACUUACAGGAGGUUUAUAAUGUCUCAAUUUGAGAAACUGCCCUCUUGCCACAUUCAUGCUUUGGUAGAACACCUUAAGAGCUUUGGCAAACUCUGUUGUAGCUGGCUUCGUACACACCUGCAUUCAUCUGGCUUCCUGCAUAUCUGAUUCAUUGUUCUGGCUGCUGGUUAUUGUUCCGUCAUCCCAUUUAUCUUCAGGGUAUUGGAAGCCUUAUGUGCUGAGAUUGAAAGAUAAAAUAACAUUUAUUCAUCUAUUUAUCCAAGUAUUUAUAUAUGUAAUUAUCUUAAUGCAUUUUACUACAUCAGCAUUUAUUUGUCACCAAUUUGGACCCACUCUAAGAAAUCUAAGAAAAAAGGGGAAAAAAUUUUUUACUUAAUAGAUUAACUCGCUUAAACGUUCACUUCUUUAGAAAGACAAACACACGUUGCAAAUGUAGGAGUUUAGAGAAAAGCUAAACACCAAGACUUGAGCAGCCUCUCACCUUGUUGACUAGAACCAGUUUUCUCAAUAGAUUCUUUAAGAAACACAUUUUCCUCUCUGAGGACUCUGUUGAUGUUUCUGAGCAGUUCUCUCUCCUCUUCUAACUUGACCAGCUUGAGAUAAAGUUCUGGUGUCUGGUUUGAUGUAGUCUAUAAAAAACAGGUCAGUUUAGCCUGUUGCUGGAUUAUUUGCAUGUCCGUUGAGCCUGGCAGUUGUUCCUACCACGUGAAAACUAAGUAGGUGUGGUGGGAGGUGUGGUGACCAGGAUUUAAGAUCCUUAAGGUACACAGGAGUAAAUCAAGAAAAAUGUUUCUCAAUGAAUUUUAUUACAUUGAUAGUUGUACACUGAUCAUCACAACCCAAUUUUAUAGCAUUUCCAUCCCAAAACCCCAGCCCAUCCCCCACCCCCCAACCUAUCUCUUUGGAAACCGUAAGUAAGAAAAACGUUUUUUUAAUGGGAAACUUUUGAUGCUGGCCUGUGUCUGUCACAGUAGAAAUUUUCUUGGAGUCCACUAUGAUGGGGCCUUCACCUGUGACAAUGAUGUCUGGCUGAGAGCAGCUCAAUUCAGCACAGCCUUCUGUAGUGUGGGGGAGACACCAUCAAGGAAAAAAAUGUCUCAACUGUCCAGCCCUAGUGUUGUGUGAGGAGAUUCAAACCAUAUAAUCACCUGUAGGCUAAAACCCGAGGCCAUGGGAAAGAUAGCUCUUGGCCAUUGCUGCCAAUACCCUGACCACCUCUGCAGCCCUAGAUACACUGACACGAUGCCUGAUUGAGGAGUACACCAUGCAGAAGAGGAAGUAAACAUGGUACCUUGAAGACCCCAUAAAUCAACAAUGAGAGCAUUUGUCUGUAAAUAAUUCAGAAACUCCUGAGAUGCAUUUAAGGCUGUAAAUUGAACAGUCUCUUCAAUUUGGGGAUUCACAGUUUUCCAUACAGGCUUGGUAUAUAAAGUGUUUGGGAGAUCAUAAAUUCUGUACCUGAGGGAAAAAAAUCAGAAAACAUCAUUUAAAACCAGAAGGGAUACAUUUGUUUAAACACACACACACACCAUCAAGUGCAGAUGGGCCAAAUAAUUAUCACCUGCUUUGUUUAGCUGAUAAAAGAUGACCUCUAAUUGAUUCUUGUGAUAGCCAUCUCCAACAUCUCAGCUAUUCAAUAUGCAUAUCAUCAGUACAUGGAAAAUAUUGCAUGUC